CAAACGGUCCUUUUCGGGACCAUCGAAAACUAUUCCUCAGGUUGAUG
rfam:Aedes albopictus isolate Foshan contig81725, whole genome shotgun sequence.